UUCUAAAUUCCUUAUAUAAGGAAGCCCUUGUUUACUGCUGAAGAAAAGCACGCCCAGAUUAAGAUUCAAUGAGAAGCUCUGCACAGUAGUUCCAGAACCACGCUACUUUAUCCCAGAAGUUCACAAGAGGCUGAUGUGCACUUCAAGACUUCAGUGGCAAGGUUUAAAAAAAAUGAAAAUCCACACUGCCACAUUUUCAUAUCUUGUUAAAAAUAUUCAUCAGUCCUUCAUCAAAGUCAUCAUCACAGAACAUGACUAGACACAGGAAAGACAUGGGGGGAAAUGAUGUACAACAAGCAACUAAAUCUGCACUUCUUAAAGGUAAGGCAGAGAGGUAGGUAUGAAUAGUAACCAGUACAGAUACCAAGGCAGAUACCAAUGCAAUCCUUAUACACAGCUUACAGCUCAUCCAUUUCUCAGAGGAAUUUCCACAAAUGUUUCAACACUACCAGGGGGCUGAAUCAAUCUGCAUCAUGUUUUGAAUACCAGGAAGGCACAAUACCAGGCUGGAACUAAAGACAAAUUCUCUCUUGUAGGAUAAGGGGUCCAAGAAGACUAACAUCUGAGCUCUUUCUGAAAGGUUUUACGCUGCACAGCAAUGUUCUCUCACCAAGCCCAAUGAAAGCCAACUAAUUAGAUCAUCACACUCCUUCUACCAUAUGAACUGCUUUUGUUUGCUUCAGGCCAAUAGCAAUUCAUCUGUGAUUAUGAUUCUGACAAUUGCUGCUCCGCAACAAAACCACAGCUCCUUUACACUGGUCUAACUCCACUUCAACAGGAAUUUUAUUUACAAGGUUAUCAUAAAUAGCAUUUCAAUCUGACAUUUGCUGUUGUCCGUUGCCAUGCUUCUUUUGCCAAAGACAGGAAUAUUCUUGAUAAGUCAAGCACCAGUUCCAUAAACCUGCUCCUUUUCAGGACAACAGCAACAGGCACGUAGCUCCUUUCUCAUCAGCACAGGGUACCAUGACUGCCUUGUCCAACAGUACCUGUGUAACUACUGUCAUCAAGUGUGACUUCUCACCUGUCACAAACAAGAUGCUGUCUACUGCUGGUAACAGGUAUUGAAGCAAAACUUGUGCAUUGAGCACAUCCACAGAUUAUCAGGAGACCCUGUUUCUAUUUGAUUAUUUUCUUCAUCACAGUUUUCAAAGGGCAGGCUGAGAACGGGUACAAAGCACCAAAACAGAAUAAAAUAAACAAAAUGUUGAACAAAA